rnacentral:rRNA from 1 species
UGGGGAAUAUUGGACAAUGGGGGGAACCCUGAUCCAGCCAUGCCGCGUGUGUGAAGAGGGCCUUAUGGUUGUAAAGCACUUUAAGCGAGGAGGAGGGUACUGGUAUUAAUACUACCAGCUACUGGACGUUACUCGCAGAAUAAGCACCGGCUAACUCUGUGCCAGCAGCCGCGGUAAUACAGAGGGUGCGAGCGUUAAUCGGAUUUACUGGGCGUAAAGCGUGCGUAGGCGGCUAAUUGAGUCGGAUGUGAAAUCCCCGAGCUUAACUUGGGAACUGCAUCCAAAACUGGCGAGCUAGAGUAGGGCAGAGGGUGGUGGAAUUUCCUGUGUAGCGGUGAAAUGCGUAGAUAUAGGAAGGAACACCAGUGGCGAAGGCGACCACCUGGGCUCAUACUGACACUGAGGUGCGAAAGCGUGGGGAGCAAACAGG